GGUUAAGAUAGACAGAAUAUAUACAACUAAUUGAUCACAACCAGUUACAGAUUCCUUUGUUCCUUCUCCACUCCCACUGCUUCACUUGAUUAGCCUAAA
ensembl:misc_RNA Y_RNA Y RNA